rnacentral:tRNA from 1 species
GGAGGGUAUAGCUCAGUGGUAGAGCACAUGCCUAGCAUGCAUGAGGUCCUGGGUUCGAGCCCCAGUACCUCCA